rnacentral:pre_miRNA from 14 species
CAGAAACUCAUUACAGCUGCUGGACGCUGCACAAGAGACUUUUAAAACUCUUGUGCGUGUGACAGCGGCUAUUGUGGGUAUUCCUUUUCUUCAG